GACAGAGGGUGCAAACGUUGCUCGGAAUCACUGGGCGUAAAGGGCGUGUAGGCGGGAAGGAAAGUCGGGCGUGAAAUCCCUGGGCUCAACCCAGGAACUGCACUCGAAACUUCUUUUCUUGAGUGCCGGAGAGGAAAGCGGAAUACCUGGUGUAGAGGUGAAAUUCGUAGAUAUCAGGUGGAACACCAGUGGCGAAGGCGGCUUUCUGGACGGUAACUGACGA
rnacentral:rRNA from 1 species